rnacentral:misc_RNA from 1 species
AUCAUCUGUAUCGAGCCUAUCGGUUCCCGGUACUUCGUAAUGUCGAACUUGUUCUGUCGGGAUCGCCCUGUUGCCAAGUCGUCGCAUCACCGCCGUCCAUCAGAGAUCAGCUCCUUUACUCUCGCUCAAGCGACAUAUUGUGCUACGGAUACACUGGAAGGAAGUAACUGAGGGCUCUUUGCCUUUAGAAAUAAGAUCGUACACAGAGAGAGGUUCAUCGAGUUAUCUAUCGUGCCAGUGGAUCGUCCAUCUUCUCGGCGAGCACCUUAUUAUGCCCAUCCGAGUAGAGCAGUGUUCUUAUGGACGAGGACCGGGUCAGGAAGCAUUAGAAGCAAGCCAGCAUAGUCACGAACAGUCAAUGAUCCCGAACAACCGUAGUCGGGAUAAGGCUUGCAAAUGGAGGAAAAAGUGGGCAGCACGAUAACGCUGCUUCCCUUUUCCUCUUCUCUCAAACCAUCUCUUCUAACUUUUUUCUUGUUCUACCUCCUCUUCCUCCCUCUCUCUCCCUCGUCUCUCUCGCACGCGCGUUCUUUUCAGUUUCUGAAUGCCGGCGUGGUUGUGUCACAUUAGGGAACGUUUCCAUUUUCAUGCAAUCCACGUCGUCGACAGUGCCGUUAACGACCGACCGCGCAUCAACCUUACAUCCACGUAUACAAUCGUCCUAGCUGCUGGUUAAUCUGCGUUGGCAAACCGACAGUGUACGUAGUCUGACACGAUUCAACUUCUGAAGCUUUUUGGAUUUCAGGAGAAAAGGAGAACAGGGUUUUAGGAAAACUUGGUCUGAUUAUAUCGAAGAAAGGAUUCGUUGUAUGCUUCAAGGGAUCAAGUGCUUAGAAUCCCCGUAGUUCGUGAAGUGAAGGUUCUGUUGCAAUAGAUUGUGGUUCGUGAAGUGAAGCUUUUGUUGCAAUAGAUUAUGGUUCGUGAAAUGAGGAAUGGAUAAUUCUUUGUUUGCUUUUGUUGGAUUGCUUUUUUAAAUUCAUUGAUAUUUAUAGCCAUGUUUAAGAACAAUAAGGAUUUGUUUGCUUAUUUUUAGAAUGAAAGGAUUUGUUGUUACGGUCGGUGAAACCGAGGAUUCAGGAGGAAUUUUUGUGACACAUAGGAUUGAGAUUUUACAGUGGUAAAUUGCGAUUUUCAGAAACAAAAGAGGAUUCUUUAAAUUGGAAUUUUGUGUAUUUUGUUAGGCACUAAUCUACUA